UGGUAUGAGUCUGCGGACCUUUUUCACUGCCCCAGGAUCUGAGGCCUGAACGCGGCACCCUAGGGGAGACGCACUAAUAGGUUUCCGAUAAUGCUUCUCUCGUCCUCCACUAAGGGCGAGAGCUCCGGCAAAGGAGCCAAUCCCGGUGCAAUAUCCGAGUGAUAGGAUGCAGACUACAAGUCUGGGUUCGCCAGAGAGAAACGAGGUGUUGUUUAAAGAAAUAAAAGGUGACAAACCGGAGGAAGAACUCACUCCAGGAGGCAACCACGCUUCUGACGAUCGGUUAUAUUCUCGCCUCUCCAGUUGAGCUUUGCUAGCAGCCUUCCUCAGGACCUACCAAUAGGAGCUGGAGGAAGACUGGACUAAAAGGAUGAGAGAAGAUUUCCCAUUUACUUCCUGUCUUUCAUGUUUGCUCACAUCACCAUAGCAAGAGUUCUUCAUCGUGGCAGCAGCAGUUGAAUCCAGUGACAGCAGUUGUCUUUAGUCUGCAGAUCUUCCGUGUUCCUGAAAUCAGCCUCAUCAUGUCUCUACAGACACACUAACAAUGGUGGACCAGCAUCCACUCCUCAGAUCUGGGUCCUAGUUCUGGGGGUCUCUUCAAAGAAUCUUUUGUUUUCCCAACUCUAGAGAAGACAGCUGCUUUUGUCAUUACUCUCUCUCAUACUUCAGUUCACCUUUUCCCUUUUUAAUCCUCUUAUAACCAAUUAACAAUUUACAUAAAAUCCUUUAAUUUCUGUGUAGUUCCUGGCUCCUGAAUAUACCCCGACACACCCUUAAGUGUCAGAGGCAAGGGGAGGGAAUCUGUAACCAGAGCCCAGGGGGAGUUGGGACUAUGGAGGAAAGGUUGCCCACUGGCACCAGGGGAGGCUCUGCAGGGAGUAAGUAGACUGAUUUCUCUCUUUUGCCAUCCAAACUCCUGCUGGGCCUGCCAUUGGUCAAUCCAACUUGAGCCAGAAGGCAGGGAUGCACAGUUUAUUCCAUCUGUAGAAGCCCAUCUGCUGGAACACAGAGGUCAGAGACAGAACAUGGAUCUGAGUUUGGGGCAAACACAGAAUAAACCAGUUCAAGGAUUCUUCUAUCAUGACCAAUUUAUAUACUUAGAACUUGGAUCCCAUUGUUUUCUUCCUUAAAUAAUAUGCACCUGUUUUUGCUUGCUGUCUCUCCUGUGCCUUCACCUUUUAUUAACUUUUUAUUAUUUACACAUAGCUUAGUCUCUCAAUUAAAAAAAAAAAAUGCUCCCUCUCCCUCACAUCCCUAUCCAGCUGCCAAUGUCUCUUCCAAAGCUGACUUCGUGGGAGACUCAGUUACACCCCCUGCCUAUGUUUCAUCACCUCCAAGUUAAGUUCAACCCACUACAGCAAGGCUUUCACCCCUGCUAUUCCUGUGGUUUCAUUAUUGACAAAGUCACUAAUGACUUAUUUAUAAAUCCAGAGUGCUUUGCCUUUUUAAUUAUCUUCUGGGCAUCUCUACAUAUCCGUAUUUGUUCUCAUUCUCAUUUUUUUCUCUCUACCUCAAAGAAAGUCUGAGCCUUGCAGCUCUUUCAGCUGUAAUCCAGGUUAUUAACCUGGAGCUCUGAUGGUGUGGGGGAGAGGAAACAUUCUAUAGUCUUAGCAUUAACUCUCAGUCUUUUGGCAGGCCUGUAUCUUGGGGGGUGUGACCUUCAUAAGUGUUUUAUAAGAAUAUAUGUAUUCCCCCUCCUUCCAUACCCCAGACCUCUACUCCUUUCCCUGGCUGCACCAUUUCCAGUUUAUUUCCAGGAAGCUCUGACUCCUGUGGACUAUUUUUCCUCCUUUAGGUGAGACAGGAAGCCUGGAGGAGACUGCAGUGGGAGAAAUUCCCUUCUCCUAACUGGGAUGAGAGUCUGGCAAAGUGUUUUCCACUGGAGAGUAGGCCUUUGUUUUGAAGAAUAUUCUGGGUGUAUUUCAUAAUCAUUAUUCUUCUUCUCUCCUUGCCAGAACUAUAGGAGGAUCUUUCUCAGGUCUUUCCUGCAAGAAUUUGGUGGGCUUUCUGAUGGUAAAGCCCACAAAAGUAUGGGAGCUCCCCUAAGAUUGGCUGCCAGGAGUUUCUCACUCUCUUGGGAGUCUGCACUCUGCCUCCAGCUGGUUGUCAAAGUUACCAUUUAAAUUUUCUCAACAUGAUACUGUCUCAGCUUCCAGGAUCUAUGCAAAUAUGAACAUUGGUUUACAUCUAAAGUGGUGUCAUACAACAAUGGUUAGGGACUUUUGUAAAUAAAUGGAAUUGGGACAGUUGUGUAUACUUUUUAAAAGAAAAAGAGAAAUGACUCCUAGUUCAUACUAUACACAAAAAACUACCCAAGUAGAUCUAAACACGAAAAGCAAAUAAAGCUUCUAAAACUAUGUAGUAAAAAAUUAAUCUUACCCAAAAAGAGGUCUAGCCUUUGCCCUCAGCUAGCUACUGGUAGGUGACUCUAGGCUCUUGGAAUGUCCUCCCUAAUAAGGGUGUCUUUGUUUACCUGGAGUCCUUGACCACCAGAGUGUCAACAGUGUGAUUUAUAAUGGGAACUUGGAGCCACACAGUAUCUGUUCUACCUCUGGAGGGGCUGGAGAUUAAAGAUCAGCCAUAUGAACAAUCAUCUGUGGAGCUCCAAUAAAAUCCCUGAACCCUAUGGCUAAGGUGAGCUUCCUUGACUGGCAGUACAGUAGUUCCCCCUUGUCCACUGUUUUCCUUUUCGUGGUUUUAGUUACCUGCAGUCAACGCAGUCCAAAAAUAUUGAGUGAUAAAUUCCAGAAAUAAACAUAAUUUUUCUAUAUUAUCA